rnacentral:rRNA from 1 species
UAAUUUAUAUGUCGAUUGAGAUAGAAUGAUUGUAGACGACUUUACUGUAGAGCGGUGCCGUACGCAUGUGAGUAAGCUUUGUCUUACGAACUGUUGAAGCUCAUCCGUUUUCUGC